rnacentral:lncRNA from 1 species
UGUCUUGCAUCUUGAUGACCUUUGCGUGACCUUCAAAUGUGACCUCAAGGUCAACUUUAUGUUGUUUUUUUUUCGUGAAAAACAACCAUGUAGGCCACAACUUCUUCACCUUUUGACCUAGGCCUUACAUCUUUGGCAUGUGGAUGUAUCAUCAUGAGGUGGUGAGCCUUCUUAAAAUUUCGACCCUCAUGUGACCUUGAACUUUGACCUCAAGGACGAUAAUUGUGUUUUUUGGUAAGAAACACUUGUACCGGCCAUGACUUUUAUGAAGUUAUGAAUUCAUAUUUAUUUUUAAAAAUAAUAAUACACAAGCUUUAAUCGACCAUACAACAAUAUAGACACAUUUUAUGACAUGUCAACUCAUUCCAUGCACACGGAAUACAUAAUGGACAUGUAGUAACAUAAAAUUGUUUGAAAAAGGGAUAGUUUCCAUUGAAGCGCAGUGUAUGUACUUAACUACUCAACAGAAAGCAAAGUAAAAACUUCCUAGGAAUCAAACAGUAGGAGGAGUUAUGCCAAAUAACUAUAUACCAAUAAUGGGACGGACGGAAGGACAGACGAACAGGGGUAAAACAAUACCCCCC